rnacentral:sRNA from 1 species
CGCCCCGCGCGCGGACCUGCAGCCAUGGCAGUCACCGCCCAGGCAGCCCGCAGGAAGGAGCGCGUCCUCUGCCUGUUUGACGUGGACGGGACCCUCACGCCGGCUCGCCAGGUAGGACCCUGAAGAUUGGAAGCUCCCGCCGGGAGUGUCACGCGGACACCCCCGAGGCUGAGUGUGGGGUCUGCAGCAGCGUGACCGUGGACACCCGGGGACCGAGUGUGGGAUGCGGCGGUACCCGGCCCCCUGACAUCCGGGGCCACCCACCGGGAGUGAGGGGACCUGGCCCUUACGUCACUGACCCCGCAGCGUCCCUGCCUGUGUUCUGCUUGGGAGUGCUGGGGUUGGAUCCAGUACUGGAGGGAGGAGGCUGCGAGCAGGCGCCUAGCUCCCUCCCUCCCUAGAGGCUUUCACACGCCGCUAAGGCCUGGCUCACGGACGCCCCCGCCUCCUGAGCUGGGGAUCCCACCCUAGUUCAGCCCUACGACACACCAGUGGUCGGAGCUGGCUUCUGAACCGGGGUUCCAGGCACACAAGCACACAGCCAAGCGUCAGUCAUCAUCUGGUGGGAGACAGGGCGUCUCGGAGUCUUCCCACCCCGACCUUUGCAGGCCUGGGACUGGGUCUAGUUUCUGAAGCCCCAUCACCCACUUUACCUUCCACCCCCAGUCGUGGAGCAGAGAGGGCUUCUUUUCAAAUUCGUUUAUGAGCUCUACCCACCCGGAUGUGAGAGGCUCCAGGCCUAGCCUGUUUGCUGUGAGGACACUGAGGAAUAGUGAGGAAAAUUGACCCUGAGGUGGCCGCCUUCCUGCAGAAGCUGCGAAGUAGAGUGCAGAUCGGUGUGGUGGGCGGCUCUGACUACUGUAAGA